GCGGAUGUGGUGGAAUUGGUAGACACGCUGGAUUUAGGUUCCAGUGCCUUUAUGGCGUGGGAGUUCAAGUCUCCCCAUCCGCA
rnacentral:tRNA from 1 species